AGGUGCGUGCGGCCGAGUGGUUAAGGCGAUGGACUGCUAAUCCACUGGGCUCUGCCUGCGUGGGUUUGAAUCCCAUCCUACCGA